CUUCCGUAGGGGUGACCUGCGGAAGGAUCAUUACCGAGUGUAGGGUUCCUAGCGAGCCCAACCUCCCACCCGUGUUUACUGUACCUUAGUUGCUUCGGCGGGCCCGCCAUUCAUGGCCGCCGGGGGCUCUCAGCCCCGGGCCCGCGCCCGCCGGAGACACCACGAACUCUGUCUGAUCUAGUGAAGUCUGAGUUGAUUGUAUCGCAAUCAGUUAAAACUUUCAACAAUGGAUCUCUUGGUUCCGGCAUCGAUGAAGAACGCAGCGAAAUGCGAUAACUAGUGUGAAUUGCAGAAUUCCGUGAAUCAUCGAGUCUUUGAACGCACAUUGCGCCCCCUGGUAUUCCGGGGGGCAUGCCUGUCCGAGCGUCAUUGCUGCCCAUCAAGCACGGCUUGUGUGUUGGGUCGUCGUCCCCUCUCCGGGGGGGACGGGCCCCAAAGGCAGCGGCGGCACCGCGUCCGAUCCUCGAGCGUAUGGGGCUUUGUCACCCGCUCUGUAGGCCCGGCCGGCGCUUGCCGAACGCAAAUCAAUCUUUUUCCAGGUUGACCUCGGAUCAGGUAGGGAUACCCGCUGAACUUAAGCAUAUCAAUAAGCGGAGGGGAUCAUUACCG
rnacentral:rRNA from 1 species